rnacentral:rRNA from 1 species
UGGGGAAUUUUGGACAAUGGGGGAAACCCUGAUCCAGCCAUCCCGCGUGUGCGAUGAAGGCCUUCGGGUUGUAAAGCACUUUUGGCAGGAAAGAAACGUCAUGGGUUAAUACCCCGUGAAACUGACGGUACCUGCAGAAUAAGCACCGGCUAACUACGUGCCAGCAGCCGCGGUAAUACGUAGGGUGCAAGCGUUAAUCGGAAUUACUGGGCGUAAAGCGUGCGCAGGCGGUUCGGAAAGAAAGAUGUGAAAUCCCAGAGCUCAACUUUGGAACUGCAUUUUUAACUACCGGGCUAGAGUGUGUCAGAGGGAGGUGGAAUUCCGAGUGUAGCAGUGAAAUGCGUAGAUAUGCGGAGGAAAACCGAUGGCGAAGGCAGCCUCCUGGGAUAAAACUGACGCUAAUGCACGAAAGCGUGGGGAGCAAACAGG